rnacentral:rRNA from 1 species
CAGCCGCCGCGGUAAUACCGGCUGCGCGAGUGGUGAUCGUGAUUAUUGGGUUUAAAGUGUCCGUAGCCGGUUUGGUCAGUCCUCCGGGAAAUCUGACAGCUUAACCGGCGGGCUUUCGGGGGAUACUGCCAGGCUUGGAACCGGGAGAGGUAAGAGGUACUACAGGGGUAGGAGUGAAAUCUUGUAAUCCCUGUGGGACCACCUGUGGCGAAAGCUUCUUACCAGAACGGGUUCGACGGUGAGGGACGAAAGCUGGGGGCACGAACCGGAUUAGAUACCCGGGUAGUCCCAGCCGUAAACGAUGCUCGCUAGGUGUCAGGCAUGGCCCGACCGUGUCUGGUGCCGCAGGGAAGCCGUUAAACGAGCCACCUGGGAAGUACGGCCGCAAGGCUGAAACUUAAAGGAAUUGGCGGGGGAGCACAACCACAGGUGGAGCCUGCGGUUUAAUUGGACUCAACGCCGGAAAACUCACCGGAGGCGACGGUUACAUGAAGG